GCUUGGAAGCAGCCAUUCAUUUAAAGAGUGCGUAACAGCUCACUAGUCGAGGAGUCCGGCGUGGAUAAUACUCGGGCAUAAACUGUUUACCGAAGCUAUGGAUGUAGAAAUACAUGGUAGGGGAGCAUUCCAACGGCGUCGAAGGUGAAGGAUGACCUUUGCUGGAGCUUUUGGAAACGCAAAUGUAGGUAUAAGUAACGAUAAAGGAGGUGAGAAACCUCCUCGCCGAAAGACUAAGGUUUCCUGAUCAACGUUAAUCGGAUCAGGGUAAGUCGGGACCUAAGGUUAAGCCGAACGGCGAUACCGAUGGAAGAAUGGUUUAAUAUUCCCAUACUACUUUAUGGAGCGAUGUGGAGACGGAGAAGUGAAAGUCCUGCCAUCUGACGGAAUAGGUGGUUGAAGAGUGUAGAUGUAGAUUCCUGUAGGCAAAUCCGCAGGGAGAGUCGACCUUGAUAGUAUGCCGCGUGCUUGCACAAGGCAAAAUGGACGUAAUCAGGCUCCCAAGAAAAUCCGCUAAGCAUAUUCAUAAAGUACCCGUACCGUAAACGGACACACGUAGUUGGGUUGAAAAUACUGAGGCGCUCGAGUGAUUCACGGUUAAGGAACUAGGCAAAUUGACCCUGUAACUUCGGGAUAAAGGGUCCCAACGAGAGUUGGGCGCAGAGAAUAGGUCCAGGCAACUGUUUAACAAAAACACAGGGCUGUGCCAAAUUGAAAGAUCACGUAUACAGCCUGACACCUGCCCGGUGCUGGAAGGUUAAGAGGAGAUGUCAUCGCAAGAGAAGCAUUGAAUUGAAGCCCCAGUAAACGGCGGCCGUAACUAUAACGGUCCUAAGGUAGCGAAAUUCCUUGUCGGGUAAGUUCCGACCUGCACGAAUGGUGUAAUGAUCCGGACGCUGUCUCAACCAUGAGCUCAGUGAAAUUGUAGUAUCGGUGAAGAUGCCGAUUACCCGCGAUGGGACGAAAAGACCCCGUGAACCUUUACUAUAGCUUAACAUUGAAUUUGGGUAAUUGAUGUGUAGGAUAGGCCGGAGACUUUGAAGCGCAGACGCCAGUUUGUGUGGAGUCGCUGUUGAAAUACGGCCCUUUGAUUAUUUGAGUUCUAACCCGUUGUAACGGGGACACUGUUUGGUGGGUAGUUUGACUGGGGUGGUCGCCUCCAAAAGUGUAACGGAGGCUUCUAAAGGUGCCCUCAGGACGAUUGGUAACCGUCCGCAGAGUGUAAUGGCAUAAGGGCGCUUGACUGGGAGACUUACAAGUCGAUCAGGUAGGAAACUAGAGCAUAGUGAUCCGGUGUUUCCGCAUGGAAGGGACAUCGCUCAAAGGAUAAAAGGUACUCCGGGGAUAACAGGCUGAUC
rnacentral:rRNA from 1 species